UACGGGGGGGGCAAGCGUUGUUCGGAAUUACUGGGCGUAAAGGGCUCGUAGGCGGCCAACUAAGUCAGACGUGAAAUCCCUCGGCUUAACCGGGGAACUGCAUCUGAUACUGGAUGGCUUGAGUUCGGGAGAGGGAUGCGGAAUUCCAGGUGUAGCGGUGAAAUGCGUAGAUAUCUGGAGGAACACCGGUGGCGAAGGCGGCAUCCUGGACCGGCACUGACGCUGGAGGAGCGAAAGCCAGGGGAGCAAACGGG
rnacentral:rRNA from 1 species